rnacentral:rRNA from 1 species
GAUGAACGCUGGCGGCGUGCCUAAUACAUGCAAGUCGAGCGAACGGACGAGAAGCUUGCUUCUCUGAUGUUAGCGGCGGACGGGUGAGUAACACGUGGAUAACCUACCUAUAGGACUGGGAUAACCUCGGGAAACCGGAGCUAAUACCGGAUAAUAUUUUGAACCGCAUGGUUCAAAAGUGAAAGACGGUCUUGCUGUCACUUAUAGAUGGAUCCGCGCUGCAUUAGCUAGUUGGUAAGGUAACGGCUUACCAAGGCAACGAUGCAUAGCCGACCGGAGAGGGGGACCGGCCACACUGGGACUGAGACACGGUCCAGACUCCUACGGGAGGCAGCAGUAGGGAAUCUUCCGCAAUGGGGGGAAGCCUGACGGAGCAACGCCGCGUGAGUGAUGAAGGUCUUCGGAUCGGAAAACUCUGUUAUUAGGGAAGAACAUAUGUGGAAGUAACUGUGCACAUCUUGACGGUACCUAAUCAGAAAGCCACGGCUAACUACGUG